rnacentral:rRNA from 1 species
UACGUAGGUGGCAAGCGUUGUCCGGAUUUACUGGGUGUAAAGGGCGUGUAGGCGGAGAUGCAAGUCAGAUGUGAAAUACGGGGGCUCAACCCCCGGGCUGCAUUUGAAACUGCAUAUCUUGAGUGAUGGAGAGGUAAGCGGAAUUCCCGGUGUAGCGGUAAAAUGCGUAGAUAUCGGGAGGAACACCAGUGGCGAAGGCGGCUUACUGGACAUUAACUGACGCUGAGGCGCGAAAGUGUGGGGAGCAAACAGGAUUAGAUACCCUGGUAGUCCACACUGUAAACGAUGGAUACUAGGUGUGGGGGGACUGACCCCUUCCGUGCCGGAGUUAACACAAUAAGUAUCCCACCUGGGGAGUACGGUCGCAAGAUUAAA